AUGGUACUUUCUUCUCCUUCUCCUGUUUCUUCAGAAGCUCAAGUAAAUCAUAUCUGUGGGAAGACUGACUUAGCUGAGAAGUGUACUCUUUCCAACGGACCCCUUCUCAUUCCUGAGACCACACUGAACUCAGACUUAGGGGCUGAGCCAUCUGGAGCCCUGAAAUUAUCCGAGUACAGAGGCUGCUUGCUGAAAUGGAGGAACAGAAGGAAUGAUGGAGCCUGGCUACCUCCAGAAACUUCUUCUGUAAGAAAGAAACAAAUCUCUGGUCUGCUAAGUUGCAUAUUGGUGUUUUCAGUUAUAUGCAUCUAACUGUACCCUGGAAGAGAACCUGGAAUGUAGUCCUAUGCCCCAAGAGGACAUUUUCAGGAAAGGCUCUCAAAAAGAAGGCUCUGAGAGUUUUAAUGUAUGAAAAAAGAAUUUAAAACUUCCAUCAAGUGGAAAGUAAGAGCAACCCAUGGCCUCUUAUUUAUGGCAUAUCCAACCCACAGCUUAGAACAGGCUCACCUCUGCAGGCCACCCACCCCUUGUCAACACUUCUGUCCCAUGACACUGGUCAUUCCCACUCCACUCUCACCCUGCCCCUCAGACCUGGAGCUCCUGACCAUCGUCCCAGGUGUGGCUGGCUGUUCUCAGCCCCAUUUCCACCACUAAUGCUGCUUUGCAUGAGUGCCUGUCCAGCCCAGCAUCCUCACCUACAGAGGUGACUCCCAACGACUCGUGGCACAAAAUGUGCACAAUAUUCAGCAAGAAAAGGUUAGCGUGGUCAUGCAUUAGAGUUGACUUGUUCUCUCAAAAGCUUAGAGCUGGAAGUAAAUUCCAUAAAUGAAGAUCUUGAAGUUAAAACAGUAUUUUGGAAAAUGUGUUCUGUUGUUUUACAUCUGUUUAGGUAUCUUUCUUCAGGUCACAUUCCAUAAGACACAGUUAGGAAAAUGUCCAAGAUGGUCGGAAGUUGCGUACUAGUAGUUGCUGAUAGUUGUAAGCCCUAGUCUCUUCUCAAACAUUCAUGAUGAGCACCCAGCCACUGACCUAGCAGCCAGCAGGGUCCAGAGGUAGUCCUAUCUACACAAGGAGCAGAUGCCCCCAAAAGUGGACAGGGCGGCAGCUGGACUGAUCCCUUGGGUAGCUGGGGCUCUGCACUCCUCAUCCUCACCAAUGUCCCCAUCUCCCCACAAUGGGAGGGCAUGCUUGACAGUUCUGUUUCCAUGGCUGGGCUCUAUUUGUAUUCUUCAUUGUCCAUCAGAUGUGUGCGUAAUCAGGACUUUCUGUAUGCCCAACACGUUCCAUGGUCUUUCCUUGUGCCUCUGCAGCCACAGCCCCUAGUUGGCCUCCCAGAAAAACAGCUCCUGCCCCCACCCCCACACCAAAACACAAAUGCUCAUGUCUCUGCUCUGGCUCUCAAAGCCUGUCCGAAUCUAGCCUGGUAUGUCUGUGCCCUGUCUCAUGGCUCUACCUCUGUUCACAACACCUCCUCCCACUCCUGAAGGCCUGGCCUCGUCGAAUGGCAUUGACUCUGGUACUGUCUAGCUAGAAGAACAUGGAUGAAUUGCUUGGGGCUGCCCAUCUCAGUUUCUUCAAUCAGAAAAUGAUGGGAUUCAGUAGAGAGUUUAAAGAUCCCUUCCAAUUCUGAAAGGCUGCUAUACUUUGCACACAGGUUCUCCUACGUCAGUAUCCUUCCUGAUUAAGAAUAUAGAUAAAAGUAAUGGUCACCUGACACCUACAGAGCACCUGUUGUGUGCCAGGCAUGGUGCUAGGUGCCUGACAAGCCUUUUGUUAUUUGACCCCUCCUGGUUAACAUAUAAAAGGUGAAUGAGAUAAGGCUCCCUGUUCUGCACCAAAGACAGACCAGAAUGUAGCAUAAGAUGCCCAGAGUAAUGAAGACUACAGCCAGGCCUAGACUUGGAGGCUGACCCCAGAACUCCUGCUUCCCAGCCCUCCGCUGUUCUACGGUAGUGUCAUGACCCUGAUGGUCGUGCGUCGGUGCCAGGGUCCUAGGUUCAAACUCUGAUACCACCAUUUACGAAUCAAGUUUUGACAACAGUGUCAGCAUUUAGUAAACAGCCAAUCACCAUCAGCUAUCACUCUUGCUCCCCCAGUUCUUUCCUUACUGUUUCUUCCUGGGAGCAACAGAUUCCUUUUGGCUGCAAACUGCUGAGGUCACCUCUUAAGAACAGACACAUUUGUUCUGCAGAAGGGGGAAUUCCAAAGGAAAAGGAACAGUAAAUGAGUCCUUGGGAGAAAAAUUUCUCUUUUCAAAUCUUGACAGAAUUCAAAGAACUGAUUUAACAAGAAUUUGAGUUCCAGUUACAACCCCUUGCACUGGUAGUAGCAUUCUGCAGAGACUGUGUGCUACUGGGGACGGAGAUACAGCACCGCUGUUCCUAGGCAACCGACCACAGCAACACAGGACGAAGCAAACAACUCAAGCUCAGAGGCCGUGGAUUCCACCUCUCACUUGGCUUCUGUGAUCUAGAGCAGGUCACCUGCUACACAAGCCUUCUGCUCCUUGUUCCUCUAAAUGGGAAGAACAAGUUCAGCCCUGUGUGGAGAAAGCCACUUCAAAAAGCGACCUGCCAAUAAAAUGCAUAAUUAAAAUAUGUAAUAGAAUGUUAUUUAGCCCUUCACAUAAUUGUCUAUCCAUUAAUAUACAUGUGUGGUCUUGGCUUUCAUGCAUUAAUUAUUAAGAAUUCUUCAAUCAGGAUCUGCCUGAAUAUAAAUUGGGCCAAAUAUGUGUUCUAUAUUAAGGUUGAAAAAUAUGUAAAUCUCGAGGGAUCUUAGGUCUGAGAGCUAUAAUUUGUAGGAGGACACAAAUACCUUUGGUGUAAUUGUUUCACUGUCCAUAAUUAUUUCAGACUAAAUUAGCUUCAAUUUAGAUAAAUCCUGAAAGCUAUUUAACAUCUCAGCAGGAAGGAUGACCUGUGAUGCCUUAAGUUCCAUGCAUCACUCCUGCAUAACUAAUUAUUAUCAUCGUCCCUAUUAUCAACCAUAAAAUAACAAAGACCUGACUAAUUACUUAAUAGAGUAGUCAAGCAGUCAGUAAACAUUAUUUGACUCAGCAGAGAACAUAAAGUUCAACCUCACAAUACGUCUGCUUUCAGUUUGAUGGAGAUGAAAGGAAAAAAAUACAGCCGAAGUUAGAGAUAGGACCUGCAGACUUACUGCCCUUUUCUUCUGAACGAUAGCCUUUGUAAAGCCUGCCCAGGGGCCCACGCAGGGUUUGACCUGGUUAUUUCUGCAUUUGAGAAACUGGAGAGCAGAGAGACACUGGAAAUGAUCCAAAAGAAAACACUGAUUCCUAAAGAUGAACAGCUCGCUUAUCUAUUUCCUUUAGUCAUGAUAGUAACUUGGAAUGUCCCUCUGAUGUUUGCAUUUGCACAGAUUCUUCCUUCCCCGGGACGUAUGUGGUGCUUUUGAGCACCUUUGGAAAAAGAUUCUCAGAAUGGUCCCCUUAGGGAUGCCCGGGUGGCUCAGUGGUUGAGCGUCUGCCUUCAGCUCAGGGUGUGAUCCUGGGGUCCUGGGAUCAAGUCCUACAUCGGGCUCCCUGCACGGAGCCUGCUUCUCCCAGCUGUGUCUCUGCAUCUCUGUUUCUCUCAUGAAUAAAUAAAUAAAAUCUUUAAAAAAGAACGUUCACCUUAAAAUAGAUGGUUGAGUGGGAUCACCUGUGAAUAGUGACUGAGCACAGAAUGUGCCAGGACUUCCUCAUUUCCUGUGCUAUUUCUUUUGUUUGUUUGGUUUUCUUUUUUAACUACCCCUCCUCGCCCUCCACCACAUACACACACACACACACGCACACACACACACACACACAUUUAUUUUUACAAAAUAAAGCCACAUUGAUUUGGAAUGCUUCCAACAAGCAGCCUUGUAUUUGGAGAUUUCUCUUUCCUCAUUUUUAAGAAUGCCUCUGGUGAGCAGAACGUUGUUUAAAUCAAAGCAAGGAGGAAAAUGUUAAUCAUUAUUAAUGGAGCUGUCCCUUCAGUUGCCCAGAUAUAAUUCAUAAUGGCCACUCCAAGCAGGUGCUCUGUCAUUAGGAGGUUAGUGAUACAUAUGCUGAAGGUAUCGAGUUGAACAGCGAAGUCGAUCUUUUUCUGGUUUACAUAUCAAACCGGAAAAUAAAACAAACAACUCUUGCUAUAACAACUGAGUCGGUCUGGGUAAUUCUGUUAGGCUAAUUUGAUAGGGGUGGAUAGAGCCCCAGAAGGUAAUAGACAGAGCCCAUGCAAGUAAUAGACAGAGGUCACAUCCUGUUCAUAAGAUCGCCAGUAUUUUUUUUUUUAUUGGAGUUCAACUUGCCAACAUAUAGCAUAACACCCAGCGCUCAUCCCGUCAAGUGCCCCCCUUCAGUGCCCGUCACCCAGUCACCCCAACCCCCCGCCCACCUCCCUUUCCACUACCGCAUGCGGCAUAAUAGUCUGCAAUCCGCACAGCCCAUUCACAUGUUGACGGAAAAAGACAGGCACGUGCGCUAAGGCCCGAGGCUGCUGCCCCUGCCCCCGUUCACCCUUGGGUUCCCCCGGGGAUUAUUUGACCGCAGGUGCAAGCAGGGUAUUU
rnacentral:lncRNA from 1 species